rnacentral:rRNA from 1 species
CAGUCGCCGCGGGAAUACGGAGGGUGCAAGCGUUAAUCGGAAUUACUGGGCGUAAAGCGUGCGUAGGCGGUGAGUUAAGUCUGCUGUGAAAUCCCCGGGCUCAACCUGGGAAUGGCAGUGGAUACUGGCUCGCUAGAGUGUGUCAGAGGAUGGUGGAAUUCCCGGUGUAGCGGUGAAAUGCGUAGAGAUCGGGAGGAACAUCAGUGGCGAAGGCGGCCAUCUGGGACAACACUGACGCUGAGGCACGAAAGCGUGGGGAGCAAACAGGAUUAGAUACCCCGGUAGUCCCUGUCUCUUAUAC